rnacentral:rRNA from 1 species
AUUGAACGCUGGCGGCAUGCCUUACACAUGCAAGUCGAACGGCAGCACGGGAGCAAUCCUGGUGGCGAGUGGCGAACGGGUGAGUAAAAUAUCGGAACGUGCCCAGUCGUGGGGGAUAACGUAGCGAAAGUUACGCUAAUACCGCAUACGAUCUACGGAUGAAAGCGGGGGAUCGCAAGACCUCGCGCGAUUGGAGCGGCUGAUAUCAGAUUAGGUAGUUGGUGGGGUAAAGGCUCACCAAGCCGACGAUCUGUAGCUGGUCUGAGAGGACGACCAGCCACACUGGGACUGAGACACGGCCCAGACUCCUACGGGAGGCAGCAGUGGGGAAUUUUGGACAAUGGGCGCAAGCCUGAUCCAGCCAUGCCGCGUGCAGGAUGAAGGCCUUCGGGUUGUAAACUGCUUUGUACGGAACGAAAAGGUUUGGCCUAAUAAGCUGGACCCAUGACGGUACCGUAAGAAUAAGCACCGGCUAACUACGUGCCAGCAGCCGCAGUAA